CGUAGGGUGCGAGCGUUAAUCGGAAUUACUGGGCGUAAAGCGUGCGCAGGCGGUUCGUUAAGUCAGCUGUGAAAGCCCCGGGCUCAACCUGGGAAUUGCGGUUGAAACUGGCGAACUUGAAUCUGGCAGAGGGGGGUGGAAUUCCACGUGUAGCAGUGAAAUGCGUAGAGAUGUGGAGGAACACCGAUGGCGAAGGCAGCCCCCUGGGCUGAGAUUGACGCUCAGGCACGAAAGCGUGGGGAGCAAACAGGAUUAGAUACCCUGGUAGUCCACGCCCUAAACGAUGUCAACUAGGUGUUGGAGGAGCAAUCCUUUGGUACCGCAGCUAACGCGUGAAGUUGACCGCCUGGGGAGUACGGUCGCAAGAUUA
rnacentral:rRNA from 1 species